rnacentral:rRNA from 1 species
AUGCAUGUCUAAGUAUAAGCAACUAUACUGUGAAACUGCGAAUGGCUCAUUAAAUCAGUUAUCGUUUAUUUGAUAGUACCUUACUACUUGGAUAACCGUGGUAAUUCUAGAGCUAAUACAUGCUAAAAACCCCGACUUCGGAAGGGGUGUAUUUAUUAGAUAAAAAACCAAUGCCCUCCGGGGCUCUCUGGUGAUUCAUAAUAACUAAACGAAUCGCAUGGCCUUGCGCCGGCGAUGGUUCAUUCAAAUUUCUGCCCUAUCAACUUUCGAUUGUAGAGUAGUGGUCUACAAUGGUUUCAACGGGUAACGGGGAAUUAGGGUUCGACUCCGGAGAGGGAGCCUGAGAAACGGCUACCACAUCCAAGGAAGGCAGCAGGCGCGCAAAUUACCCAAUCCCGACACGGGGAGGUAGUGACAAUAAAUACUGAUACAGGGCUCUUUUGGGUCUUGUAAUUGGAAUGAGUACAAUUUAAAUCCCUUAACGAGGAACAACUGGAGGGCAAGUCUGGUGCCAGCAGCCGCGGUAAUUCCAGCUCCAGAAGCGUAUAUUAAAGUUGUUGCAGUUAAAAAGCUCGUAGUUGAACCUUGGGCCUGGCUGGCCGGUCCGCCUCACCGCGUGCACUGGUCCGGCCGGGCCUUUCCUCCUGGGGAUCCGCAUGCCCUUCACUGGGUGUGCCGGGGAACCAGGACUUUUACUUUGAAAAAAUUAGAGUGUUCAAAGCAGGCCUUUGCUCGAAUACAUUAGCAUGGAAUAAUAGAAUAGGACGGCUUUCCUAUUUUGUUGGUUUCUAGGGAAGCCGUAAUGAUUAAUAGGGAUAGUCGGGGGCAUCAGUAUUCAAUUGUCAGAGGUGAAAUUCUUGGAUUUAUUGAAGACUAACUACUGCGAAAGCAUUUGCCAAGGAUGUUUUCAUUAAUCAGGGAACGAAAGUUAGGGGAUCGAAGACGAUCAGAUACCGUCGUAGUCUUAACCAUAAACUAUGCCGACUAGGGAUCGGGCGAUGUUACUAUCUUGACUCGCUCGGCACCUUACGAGAAAUCAAAAGUUUUUGGGUUCUGGGGGGAGUAUGGUCGCAAGGC